GGUCGAGCUUUUAUUGACAGCUGCCUUCAGCUUCACAGUGAGAAGAAUCUGGACUCAAGCACAGCGUCCAUGGCCAAAUACUGGGCCACAGAUUUGCAGAAUAGAGUUGCUACUCAGUGCCUGCAGCUUCACGGUGGAUCGGGCUACAUGUGGGAGUGUCCGAUAGCCAAGGCUUUUGCAGACUCCAGAGUUAAACCCAUCUUCGGAGGAACCAAUGAGAUCAUGAAAGAACUAAUCUCACGCAACAUCGUUAGUAAAAAAUAAAUGCAGGAAAAAAAAGAAAAUAAAAAAAUGUAGCAGGAGUUUCACUGAUUGUUUAUCUCAGAUGAGUUAUUCAACACAUACUAAAAGUUCAUGUCAUGUUAAAGUCUGCUUAUAUCAUAUGAUGUCUGCAGAGAGAACAUCUGUUUCUGUUCUUCUGCGACUACGCUGUAUGUAUGGAUAUUUUAAGCAACAUUUGUUUUCCAGGUGAACAGUUUGCACCACUAAUUUGCAGGGUUUGUUGUAAAGUUCAGAUACUUUUGUUGUGUUUUGACUGUUUGAUAUGUUAAUACCAGCUUUGUAUGUACUAAUAAAUCCUUAUAA